rnacentral:lncRNA from 15 species
AAGAGGAGGCCUUGAAAACUCUCCUGGUGGAACAUAAUCAAAAUAAUAUAAUGAUUGUUGAAUCAAGAGACUGAUAAAGCGUCUUUUGCAGAGGAAGACGAGGACAAGGUCCUACACAUGUUUUACUAGAAACCCACCCAAGAUAUAUUGUUUUGGUUUAAGAUCUGAGCAGCUGUUUUCCCCUCGAGGCUUUCCAAGUAUUUUAUGCAAACCUGCAAACCACCAGCAUCAGACUAUUUACAUGAUCCUGACUGCUGCUAUUUCUGUUUGCAGCAAAUACAGUCAGCAAGUACAGAAAGUGAGUAAAUAUAUGAAUAAAUAAAUGCUGCAGUUACAAAAAGGCUACGCUCAGGUUUGAAGUUAAUCAUGAAUGUAAUGUAGGAGGCAGGCUUGGGGAGUAACGAAUUACAUGUUACUAAGUUAACUAAUCAGAAUAUAAAAAUACAUUUUUGGAAUCCAUUUCAGGUACAGAAAAAGAUGUAAUCAGAUUACAGUUACAUUUACAUUACUUUAAUAUUGUGAUAAUACGACUAGGUUACUGACUACAUUUUUACAGGUAAUCAGUAAUUAUAUUGGAUUUAAUUUUCAAAGUAACCCCCCAACCCUGGUAGGAGGUGCUGACUAGGAGUGAUAAACACACUGUAAACAUGUCUUAUAGAAAGCAACAUUAUUGGUGAUUGUUCCUUUUUUUUCCAUGGGUGCACAUUAUCAUUGUUACAUUAAUGUAUAUGUUUUGCACAAUGAUUAAUGUUAAUAUUCACAUUUAGAUUAGUAAUAAUGAUCCUUAUCAUUGUGAACAGGUAUACAAAAAAUACAAAAUGUUUCAAUAUUAACUUGUUUAGAUUUAGACAGUAAUAGUUUACAGUAAUAGCAAAGUUAAAGUUGUUCCAGUUCUGUAAAUGCAGAGGACAUUUUCAAAAUGUUACAGUUGAGUGUGUAAUGAAAUUAAAAUAUCAUAUGUAAAGCAGAGGUGAUUUCCAGGCAUGUUUUCACUCUGCAGAUAUAAUAACAGUCAUAUGUUUGAUUCUAUGCAAACUCAGUGACCUUCCUUGUUAACAUAAACCAUGUUCUCUGUAGCUCUGCUGCUGCUGUUGGCAGCUGGAUGUGAGUCUCUCUGGAUUUGUCAAAGUCAACA